UCCAGCUCUCCUGUAUAUAAUAAGCUAUCAAGCCCCCUCCUUUUUUGGUUGUAGCAGCUCCUCUGCCUCUGUGAAAGAUUCUGCAGUAUAUCGAUCAAUAAAUUUUGAGCAUUGAGAAUAAUCGGUUCGGGGAACUCUUAGCUGCACACAAGAGCUCCAACGGAUUGAAGUAUCUUGUGAGAGGAACGUGGUUGAUUGAUUACUCGGUGCUGACGGGUCGUUUCCUCUCAAAGGGUAGCACCAAAAUUCAGCUUGCUUCAAUUCACAAAUUCACAGGCUACUCUAAUCAUUUUUUCUCUUGAUUUUAUAUUAUUAUCAUUUGAAUUUUAUUGUUUGUUUGUGGUCUAUAUUUGCUGUUUUUUAUUUAAUCUGAUUGUUAAUUUAGUAUUAA